CAGCCGCCGCGGUAAUACGUAGGGUGCGAGCGUUAAUCGGAAUUACUGGGCGUAAAGCGUGCGCAGGCGGUUCGUUAAGACAGAUGUGAAAUCCCCGGGCUUAACCUGGGAACUGCAUUUGUGACUGGCGAGCUAGAGUAUGGCAGAGGGGGGUAGAAUUCCACGUGUAGCAGUGAAAUGCGUAGAUAUACGGAGGAACACCGAUGGCGAAGGCAAUCCCCUGGGCCUGCACUGACGCUCAUGCACGAAAGCGUGGGGAGCAAACAGGAUUAGAUACCCGCGUAGUCCCUGUCUCUUAUAC
rnacentral:rRNA from 1 species